GUAUAUAAAGUAGUAAAAUUUUGUUAAUAAAGUAGGGUUUAUAUUGCCCCUCUUGUAAAAACUUAAUAAUAAAGUGUUUUAUAAAAUAUUUUUUUUUAGUACCUUUCAGUAUUUAUUAAUAUUAUAAAUGGUAUAAGUAUAGAAUUAGUAGCUAUAAAAUAAAUUAGUAAAAAGAAAAAGUUGACUAAUAGUAUAAUUAUAUUAAGAAAUACUAAUUAUCUCUAUUUAAAAUAAGUAAUGAAGAAAUAUUUUUUAAAGGAAUUCGACAAAUUUAUCCUUCGCCUGUUUAUCAAAAACAUGGCUUUUUGAGUAUUUAAAUAAUAAAAAGUCUGGCCUGCCCAGUGAGUAUAUUAAAUGGCUGCAACGAGAGUUGUACUAAGGUAGCGCGAUAAUUUGUCUCUUAAUUAGAGAAUGGUAUGAAGGGUUAGACGUGGGAUUAUUGUCUCUAAAAAAUACAGUUAAGUUUCCUUUUAAAUGAAAAGGUUUAAAUUUAUUAAAAGACGAGAAGACCCUGUCGAGCUUAAUUAAAUAAAAAACUAGAUAUGGUUAAAUGAAAAGUGUUAAUAGUUUAAUUGUUGGCUGAGUUUUUAAUUGAAGUUUAGUUGGGGAGAGCUGAGUUUAAGGUAAUAAACUUAAGAAAUACUAAAGAUCCUCUUUGAGAGAAGUUAGCAAAAGCUACCGCAGGGAUAACAGCGUAAUUCUUUUUAAGAGAUCUUAUUGAGGGAAGAGUUUGCGACCUCGAUGUUGGAUUAGAAAAACUUUUUGGUGUAGCAGCUAGAAGUUGUAAGACUGUUCGUCUUUUAAUUUUCUACAUGAUCUGAGUUCAGACCGGCGUGAGCUAGGUUGGUUUCUAUCUUUAUUUUUUAUUCCCAUUGUACGAAAGGAUCCGGGUAUAGAGUUUUACUUUUAAUUGUUUAUUAAUUAA
rnacentral:rRNA from 1 species